CCAAUAGCGUAUAUUAAAGUUGUUGCAGUUAAAAAGCUCGUAGUUGAAUUUCGGGGUCUGUCCGUCGGUCGGGUUUCACAGUCCGUACUGGUGUGAUGGGUUCCUACCUUCUGAAUAACCGGCAUGCCAUUCAGUUGGUGCGCCGGGGAAGCAGAGCUAUUACCUUGAAAAAAUUAGAGUGCUUAAAGCAGGCUAGUGCUUGAAUAGAUUAGCAUGGAAUAAUAAAAUAGGACGGCAUGGUUCUAUUUUGUUGGUUUCUAGGAUCACCGUAAUGAUUAAUAGGGAUAGUUGGGGGCAUUAGUAUUCAAUUGUCAGAGGUGAAAUUCUUGGAUUUAUUGAAGACUAACUUCUGCGAAAGCAUUUGCCAAGGAUGUUUUCAUUAAUCAAGAACGAAAGUUAGGGGAUCGAAGACGAUCAGAUACCGUCGUAGUCUUAACCAUAAACUAUGCCGACUAGGGAUCGGACGAUGUUAAUUUUUUAAUGACUCGUUCGGCGCCUUACG
rnacentral:misc_RNA from 1 species